AACGAACGCUGGCGGCGUGCCUAACACAUGCAAGUCGAGCGAGAAGGUAGCAAUACGAGUAAAGCGGCGGACGGGUGAGUAACACGUAGGUAACCUACCUUGAAGUGGGGAAUAACGUUUCGAAAGGAACGCUAAUACCGCAUACGAAUUUCUUUCGAUGGUUAGAAAUUCAAAGGAGGCUUCGCAAGAAGCUUUCGCUUUAAGAUGGGCCUGCGUCCCAUUAGCUAGUUGGUGAGGUAACGGCNCACAAAGGCGACGAUGGGUAGCUGGUCUGAGAGGACGACCAGCCACACUGGAACUGACACACGGUCCAGACUCCUACGGGAGGCAGCAGUGGGGAAUAUUGCGCAAUGGAGGAAACUCUGACGCAGCGACGCCGCGUGGGU
rnacentral:rRNA from 1 species